GACGAACGCUGGCGGCGUGCUUAACACAUGCAAGUCGAACGGUGAAGCGCCUUCCUUUUUGGUGGGUGUGGAUGAGUGGCGAACGGGUGAGUAACACGUGAGUAACCUGCCCCCUUCUUCUGGAUAACCGCAUGAAAGUGGGGCUAAUACAGGAUAGUCGGGGUCUGUCGCAUGAUGGGUCUGGGAAAGAUAUUGUUUCGGUGGGGGAUGGGCUCGCGGCCUAUCAGCUUGUUGGUGGGGUGAUGGCCUACCAAGGCGGUGCCGGGUAGCCGGCCUGAGAGGGUGGACGGUCCCACUGGGACUGAGACGCCGCCCAGACUCCUGCGGGAGGCAGCAGUGGAGAAUAUUGCACAAUGGGAGCCCGCCUGCUGCAGCGACGCCGCGUGAGGGAUGGAGGCCUUCGGGUUGUGAACCUCUUUCGCCAGUGAAGCAGGCCUGCCUCGUUUGUGGGUGGGUUGACGGUAGCUGGAUAAGAAGCGCCGGCUAACUACGUG
rnacentral:rRNA from 1 species